ACUUAAAUAGCUUAAAUUAUAGAGCAUAACGUUGAAGGUGUUAAAGUGAUAAACUUAUCUUUAAGUU
rnacentral:tRNA from 1 species